rnacentral:rRNA from 1 species
UACGGAGGGUGCAAACGUUGCUCGGAAUCAUUGGGCGUAAAGCGCACGUAGGCGGACCGCUAAGUCGGAUGUGAAAGCCCUCGGCUUAACCGAGGAAGUGCAUUCGAAACUGACAGUCUUGAGUAUGGAAGAGGGUCGCGGAAUUCCCGGUGUAGAGGUGAAAUUCGUAGAUAUCGGGAGGAACACCUGUGGCGAAGGCGGCCCCCUGGUUGGAUACUGACGCUGAGACGCGAAAGCGUGGGGAGCAAACAGG